rnacentral:rRNA from 1 species
AAGAAUAANCCCCGGCUAAUUUCGUGCCAGCAGCCGCGGUAAUACGUAGGGNGCAAGCGUUAUUCGGAAUUACUGGGCGUAAAGCGUGCGCAGGCGGUUGUGCAAGUCAGAUGUGAAAUCCCGGGGCUUANCCUGGGAACUGCAUUUGAGACUGCAAGUCUAGAGUAUGUCAGAGGGGGGUAGAAUUCCACGUGUAGCAGUGAAAUGCGUAGAUAUGUGGAGGAACCCCGAUGGCGAAGGCACCCCCCUGGGAUAUCACUGACGCUCAGGCACGAAAGCGUGGGGAGCAAACAGGAUUAGAUCCCCUGGUAGUCCACCCCCUAAACGAUGU